rnacentral:rRNA from 1 species
CAAGGUUUCCGUAGGUGAACCUGCGGAAGGAUCAUUAUUGAAAUAAACCUGAUGGGUUGCUGCUGGCUCUUUUGGGAGCAUGUGCACACCUGUCGUCUUUAUAUUUCCACCUGUGCACCUUUUGUAGAUCUGGAUACCUUUCUGAAAGAUUUGCACUUGCAAUUCUUUUUCAGGUUUGAGGAUUGACCUUGUGUCUCUUCCUUACAUUUCCAGAUCUAUGUUUCUUCAUAUACCCCAAUGUAUGUUUAUAGAAUGUAAUCAAAUGGGUCUUUGUGCCUAUAAAAUUUAUACAACUUUCAGCAACGGAUCUCUUGGCUCUCGCAUCGAUGAAGAACGCAGCGAAAUGCGAUAAGUAAUGUGAAUUGCAGAAUUCAGUGAAUCAUCGAAUCUUUGAACGCACCUUGCGCUCCUUGGUAUUCCGAGGAGCAUGCCUGUUUGAGUGUCAUUAAUAUAUCAACCUCUUCAGCUUUUGCUUGUUGAGUGUUGGAUGUGGGGGGUUUAUUUUUUGCUGGCUUUUUCUUGAAGUCAGCUCCCCUGAAAUAUAUUAGCGGAGCAAUUCAUUGAUCGUUCAUUGGUGUGAUAAUUAUCUACGCUAUUGACGUGAUGUGGUUCAGCUUAUAACAGUCCAUUGACUUGGACAAAUCCUUUUUAUUAAUGUGACCUCAAAUCAGGUAG